rnacentral:rRNA from 1 species
UUACAGGCUUAACACAUGCAAGUCGAGGGGCAGCAUGGUCUUAGCUUGCUAAGGCCGAUGGCGACCGGCGCACGGGUGAGUAACACGUAUCCAACCUGCCGUCUACUCUUGGACAGCCUUCUGAAAGGAAGAUUAAUACAAGAUGGCAUCAUGAGUCCGCAUGUUCACAUGAUUAAAGGUAUUCCGGUAGACGAUGGGGAUGCGUUCCAUUAGAUAGUAGGCGGGGUAACGGCCCACCUAGUCUUCGAUGGAUAGGGGUUCUGAGAGGAAGGUCCCCCACAUUGGAACUGAGACACGGUCCAAACUCCUACGGGAGGCAGCAGUGAGGAAUAUUGGUCAAUGGGCGAGAGCCUGAACCAGCCAAGUAGCGUGAAGGAUGACUGCCCUAUGGGUUGUAAACUUCUUUUAUAAAGGAAUAAAGUCGGGUAUGGAUACCCGUUUGCAUGUACUUUAUGAAUAAGGAUCGGCUAACUCCGUGCCAGCAGCCGCGGUAAUACGGAGGAUCCGAGCGUUAUCCGGAUUUAUUGGGUUUAAAGGGAGCGUAGAUGGAUGUUUAAGUCAGUUGUGAAAGUUCGCGGCUCAACCGUAAAAUUGCAGUUGAUACUGGAUAUCUUGAGUGCAGUUGAGGCAGGCGGAAUUCGUGGUGUAGCGGUGAAAUGCUUAGAUAUCACGAAGAACUCCGAUUGCGAAGGCAGCCUGCUAAGCUGCAACUGAAAUUGAAGCUCGAAAGUGUGGGUAUCAAACAGGAUUAGAUACCCCUGGUAGUCCACACGGUAAACGAUGAAUACUCGCUGUUUUGCGAUAUACUGCAAGCGGCCAAGCGAAAGCGUUAAGUAUUCCACCUGGGGAGUACGCCGGCAACGGUGAAACUCAAAGGAAUUGACGGGGGCCCGCACAAGCGGAGGAACAUGUGGUUUAAUUCGAUGAUACGCGAGGAACCUUACCCGGGCUUAAAUUGCAGAUGAAUUACGGUGAAAGCCGUAAGCCGCAAGGCAUCUGUGAAGGUGCUGCAUGGUUGUCGUCAGCUCGUGCCGUGAGGUGUCGGCUUAAGUGCCAUAACGAGCGCAACCCUUGUUGUCAGUUACUAACAGGUUCCGCUGAGGACUCUGACAAGACUGCCAUCGUAAGAUGUGAGGAAGGUGGGGAUGACGUCAAAUCAGCACGGCCCUUACGUCCGGGGCUACACACGUGUUACAAUGGGGGGUACAGAGGGCCGCUACCACGCGAGUGGAUGCCAAUCCCCAAAACCUCUCUCAGUUCGGACUGGAGUCUGCAACCCGACUCCACGAAGCUGGAUUCGCUAGUAAUCGCGCAUCAGCCACGGCGCGGUGAAUACGUUCCCGGGCCUUGUACACACCGCCCGUCAAGCCAUGGGAGCCGGGGGUACCUGAAGUGCGUAACCGCGAGGAGCGCCCUAGGGUAAAACUGGUGACUGGGGCUAAAUACAU